rnacentral:rRNA from 1 species
UACGGGGGGGGGCAAGCGUUGUCCGGAAUUACUGGGCGUAAAGAGCUCGUAGGUGGUUUGUCGCGUUGUUCGUGAAAACUCACAGCUCAACUGUGGGCGUGCGGGCGAUACGGGCAGACUGGAGUACUGCAGGGGAGACUGGAAUUCCCGGUGUAGCGGUGAAAUGCGCAGAUAUCGGGAGGAACACCGGUGGCGAAGGCGGUUCUCUGGGCCUUACCUGACGCUGAGGAGCGAAAGCGUGGGGAGCGAACAGG